GAAAUAUAUUAAAUCCCGAGUGGGGCUUGGAUGGGGAUUAAAAAUAUAAACUCUAGAAAUUAGGUUCAGAAGAAGUUGAGAGAGAGAGCGAGCGAGCGAGAGAGAUGGUGAAACCAAUUAAGUGCAGCACAAAUGGCAGCCUUGAAAGGUUUUGUGAGUCGACACACGAAAGCUGCGAGAGAGGUUUUCUGGGAUGAUAUGAAGUUUUCUGUAAUUGCCUGUGGUGCAUACGCCGUUUUCUCAACCACGUGUGUCGUGAGGUGCAUCUUGGAUAAAUAAUACCUUACCUGAUAAUUCUAUUUUCUCCUAUGUAAAUUAUUUUGAAUUUUUAACAUCUACGUUGUAGUAUGUAAUUCGUGACAUUUGAGUGCAGUCGAAAUAUGUAAUAUAUACUUUGUGGUAUGUAAGAUACUCUAUGUUCUCUUAUUUCGUGACAUUUGAGUGUGGCUCCACGUUGAAUUGAUUUAGGCCCAAUGUAUUGCACAUAA